UACGUAGGGGGCAAGCGUUGUCCGGAUUCAUUGGGCGUAAAGAGCGUGUAGGCGGCCAGGUAGGUCGGUUGUGAAAACUGGAGGCUCAACCUUCAGACGUCGACCGAAACCAUCUGGCUAGAGUCCGGGAGAGGAGAGUGGAAUUCCUGGUGUAGCGGUGAAAUGCGCAGAUAUCAGGAAGAACACCCGUGGCGAAAGCGGCUCUCUGGAACGGUACU
rnacentral:rRNA from 1 species